rnacentral:rRNA from 1 species
UACAGAGGCCUCGAGCGUUAAUCGGAGUUACUGGGCUUAAAGGGUGCGUAGGCGGUUCCGUAAGUGCCUUGUGAAAUCCCAUGGCCUAACCAUGGAAUGGCUCGGCAGACUGCGGAACUUGAGGUCGGUAGGUCGCUGGAACUCUAGGUGGAGCGGUGAAAUGCGUAGAUAUCUAGAGGAACGCCAAUGGUGAAGACAGGCGACUGGGCCGAUUCUGACGCUGAGGCACGAAAGCGUGGGUAGCGAACGGG